rnacentral:rRNA from 1 species
UGGGGAAUCUUGCGCAAUGCGCGAAAGCGUGACGCAGCAACGCCGCGUGGGGGAAGACGGCCUUCGGGUUGUAAACCCCUUUCAGGAGGGACGAAGCCUGGACCGUUAAUAGCGGUUCCAGGUGACGGUACCUCCAGAAGAAGCCCCGGCUAACUACGUGCCAGCAGCCGCGGUAAUACGUAGGGGGCAAGCGUUGUCCGGAAUUAUUGGGCGUAAAGCGCGUGUAGGCGGUCCGAUAAGUCGGUUGUGAAAGUCCAGGGCUCAACUCUGGAAUGCCGGCCGAUACUGUCGGACUAGAGUCCGGAAGAGGCAAGUGGAAUUCCCGGUGUAGCGGUGAAAUGCGCAGAUAUCGGGAGGAACACCAACGGCGAAGGCAGCUUGCUGGGACGGUACUGACGCUGAGAUGCGAAAGCGUGGGGAGCAAACAG